UGAAUUUCAAAGCGUCCUGUCUGGCUUUCAUCUGUUUUGUUUUACUUUUCACUUUUAGCGAUGGCGCAUGUAAAAAAGAGUUCGCAAAUUAUCACAUUGACAGAGAUUCCACUUUGAAGAUCACAUUUUAUUGUUCCAAACACCGUAGAGAAUGGUCAUACGGGGUGAUGCGAUUUCCUGAAUUUUGCGAAAGAUGCUUUUGUUUUGGAUAUAUCAUGGAAUGCUGCGACUCUGGGAAUGUCGCUGGCGCGGUCACUGUUGAUGGGUGUAUGAAGGAGUAUCGUGGAUGUAAGGCAGUGUUUUACAAGUUUGUGAAUGGAAUCAAAAUUAACUGUCAUACGGGUCUUCCAUUCGAUGACCGGCUAGGAUUUUGAAUAUA